rnacentral:rRNA from 1 species
GACGAACGCUGGCGGCGUGCUUAACACAUGCAAGUCGAACGGAAAGGCCCUGCUUUUGUGGGGUGCUCGAGUGGCGAACGGGUGAGUAACACGUGAGUAACCUGCCCUUGACUUUGGGAUAACUUCAGGAAACUGGGGCUAAUACCGGAUAGGAGCUCCUGCUGCAUGGUGGGGGUUGGAAAGUUUCGGCGGUUGGGGAUGGACUCGCGGCUUAUCAGCUUGUUGGUGGGGUAGUGGCUUACCAAGGCUUUGACGGGUAGCCGGCCUGAGAGGGUGACCGGCCACAUUGGGACUGAGAUACGGCCCAGACUCCUACGGGAGGCAGCAGUGGGGAAUAUUGCACACUGGGCGGAAGCCUGAUGCAGCAACGCCGCGUGCGGGAUGACGGCCUUCGGGUUGUAAACCGCUUUCGCCUGUGACGAAGCGUGAGUGACGGUAAUGGGUAAAGAAGCACCGGCUAACUACGUG